rfam:Dipodomys ordii contig_69896, whole genome shotgun sequence.
GGUGGCUCAGUGGUACAGCACUUGCUUUGCAUGCAUGAGGCCCUGGGUUUGAUUCCUCAGCACCA